GGUUCCGUAGUUCAAUGGAUAGAACUGGAGACUUCUAAUCUCUCAAUGAAGGUUCGAUUCCUUCCGGAACCA
rnacentral:tRNA from 1 species